rnacentral:rRNA from 1 species
CCUACGGGCGGCAGCAGUCGAGAAUCAUUCACAAUGGGGGAAACCCUGAUGGUGCGACGCCGCGUGGGGGAAUGAAGGUCUUCGGAUUGUAAACCCCUGUCAUGUGGGAGCAAAUUAAAAAGAUAGUACCACAAGAGGAAGAGACGGCUAACUCUGUGCCAGCAGCCGCGGUAAUACCGAGGUCUCAAGCGUGGUUCGGAAUCACUGGGCGUAAAGCGUGCGUAGGCUGUUUCGUAAGUCGUGUGUGAAAGGCGCGGGCUCAACCCGCGGACGGCACAUGAUACUGCGAGACUAGAGUAAGGGAGGGGGAAGCGGAAUUCUCGGUGUAGCAGUGAAAUGCGUAGAUAUCGAGAGGAACACUCGUGGCGAAGGCGGGUUCCUGGACAUUAACUGACGCUGAGGCACGAAGGCCAGGGGAGCGAAAGGGAUUAGAUACCCGAGUAGUC